rnacentral:rRNA from 1 species
GACGAACGCUGGCGGCGUGCUUAACACAUGCAAGUCGAACGGUGAAGGGGUCUGCUUUUGUGGGCCCUGGAUGAGUGGCGAACGGGUGAGUAACACGUGAGUAACCUGCCCCCUUCUUCUGGAUAACCGCAUGAAAGUGUGGCUAAUACGGGAUAUUCUGGGUCUGUCGCAUGAUGGGUCUGGGAAAGAUUGCGCCUUUGGGUGUUUUUGGUGGGGGAUGGGCUCGCGGCCUAUCAGCUUGUUGGUGGGGUGAUGGCCUACCAAGGCGGUGACGGGUAGCCGGCAUGAGAGGGUGGACGGUCACACUGGGACUGAGACACGGCCCAGACGCCUACGGGAGGCAGCAGUGGGGAAUAGUGCACAAUGGGCGCAAGCCUGAUGCAGCGACGCCGCGUGAGGGAUGGAGGCCUUCGGGUUGUAAACCUCUUUCGCCAGUGAAGCAGGCCUGCUCCUUGUGGGUGGGUUGACGGUAGCUGGAUAAGAAGCGCCGGCUAACUACGUG